rnacentral:rRNA from 1 species
AAUGAACGUUGGCGGCGUGGAUUAGGCAUGCAAGUCGCGCGACAAAUUUCCUGCUUGCAGGAGAUGGAGGAGCGGCGAAAGGGAGAGUAACGCGUGGAUACCUGCCCCCAGGCCCGGGAUAGCGGCGGGAAACUGCCGGUAAUACCGGAUAAUGUCUCCGGACCAAAGGUGUGAUUCCGCCUAGGGAUGGGUUCGCGUCCUAUUAGCUUGUUGGUGGGGUAAUGGCCUACCAAGGCUGAGAUGGGUACCGGGUGUGAGAGCAUGACCCGGCUCACUGGGACUGAGACACUGCCCAGACACCUACGGGUGGCUGCAGUCGAGAAUCUUCCGCAAUGGACGCAAGUCUGACGGAGCGACGCCGCGUGCGGGAUGAAGGCCCUCGGGUUGUAAACCGCUGUCAGUGGGGAGCAAAUGCAUGGGGGCUAUCCUCCAUGUUUGAGCAAUCCGCAGAGGAAGCGCAGGCUAAGUUCGUG